UACGUAGGGAGCAAGCGUUGUCCGGAAUCAUUGGGCGUAAAGAGCUCGUAGGCGGUCUGUUGCGUCCGCUGUGAAAACUCGGGGCUUAACCCCGAGCCUGCAGUGGAUACGGGCAGACUAGAGGUAGGUAGGGGAGAAUGGAAUUCCCGGUGUAGCGGUGAAAUGCGCAGAUAUCGGGAGGAACACCGGUGGCGAAGGCGGUUCUCUGGGCCUUACCUGACGCUGAGGAGCGAAAGCGUGGGGAGCGAACAGG
rnacentral:rRNA from 1 species